rnacentral:rRNA from 1 species
CCUACGGGUGGCAGCAGUAGGGAAUUUUCGUCAAUGGGCGCAAGCCUGAACGAGCAAUGCCGCGUGAACGAGGAAGGUCUUCGGAUCGUAAAGUUCUGUUGAAGGGGAAAAAGAGCGGAGAGAGGAAAUGAACUCCGCUUGAUAUUACCCUUCGAGGAAGUGACGGCUAACUACGUGCCAGCAGCCGCGGUAAUACGAAGGUGGCGGGCGUUGUCCGGAAUGGUUUGGCGUAAAGGGUGCGUAGGCGGCCUGCUAAGUCUGGAGUGAAAGGUACCGGCUCAACCGGUAGAGGCUCUGGAAACUGGCGGGCUAGAGAGCAGGAGAGGGCGGUGGAACUCGAUGUGUAGCGGUAAAAUGCGUAGAUAUAUGGAAGAACACCAGUGGCGAAGGCGGCCGCCUGGCCUGUUACUGACGCUGAGGCACGAAAGCGUGGGGAGCAAAUAGGAUUAGAUACCCCUGUAGUC